UACGAGAGGACCGGAAAGAACGCACCUCUGGUGGACCGGUUGUCGCGCCAGCGGCACUGCCGGGUAGCUAUGUGCGGAAGAGAUAACCGCUGAAAGCAUCUAAGCGGGAAACUCGCCUCAAAACCAGGUCUCGCCGAGAGCCGUGGAAGACUACCACGUCGAUAGGCUGGGCGUGUAAGCGCAGCAAUGCGUUGAGCUUACCAGUCCUAAUCGCUCGACAGGCUUGAACGC
rnacentral:rRNA from 1 species